UACGGGGGGGGCAAGCGUUGUUCGGAAUUACUGGGCGUAAAGGGCUCGUAGGUGGCCAACUAAGUCGGACGUGAAAUCCCUCGGCUUAACCGGGGAACUGCGUCCGAUACUGGUUGGCUUGAGUUUGGGAGAGGGAUGCGGAAUUCCAGGUGUAGCGGUGAAAUGCGUAGAUAUCCGGAGGAACACCAGCGGCGAAGGCGGCUUUCUGGUCCGAUUCUGACGCUGAGGCGCGAAAGCGUGGGGAGCGAUCCGG
rnacentral:rRNA from 1 species